CUCCAGGAUGCAACAGACACAGUAUAAAAAGGCCCGGUCUCCCCUUGGUUUUCCAGCAGCUUCAUCUCUACCUAUCACUUGCUUUUCUUCUCCUCUGAAGACCAGACCAUCUCCACUCCUUAGCCAUGUCUUGCUGCCCACCACCGUGCUGCCCGUGCCCACCAUGCUGCGUCGUCCCAUCCUGUUCUUCCAGUCCAUGCAUUGGUAUCGGAGCACAGAAAUGCGGAACUUCCACAUCAUCCUCCUGCCUUGGAGUCGUGCCGGGAGUCACCCCUUGCUGCAUCAACCAGCUCCCAGCAGCGGAGGUUGUUGCCCAGCCACCUCCUAUCAUCAUAACCAUGCCAGGGGCCGUCAUGUCUGCGAGCUGUGAGCCCAUUCAUGUCGGAGGCACCGCUCCAUGCGCCGUCGCUGGCUGUUGCAAGCCCUGUUGUAAGCCCUGCAAAUAACAUCUCAUGGACUUUUUGACCUCGAAGAAGAAAACCAAAAGGAACAACCAAGGAUUCAUGGCUAAAUUCUCACACCUGUGGAUAGAGAUGCUGAGCAGUCCCUUCCCGGCUCAUGUCAAUGAGAGUUGGGGGUCUGCUCAGCAUCUAUGCUGAACCAUCCCACAUACACUUCUUUUCCUGGUCUUCUAUCUAUCUGGUGAUGGGAUUUCUUGGAAAGGAGGCGGUCAAGGAAGGAUUCUCUUUUGACGCGGAGAAUCUCUUCCUCCACCAUUUUCAAUGGGGAAACCUGCGCUUUUGUUGUGUUUUGCUUUCUGGAAAUUUAAAUGCUUGAUCUUUUCUCUUCCUGAAUAAAGCUUUAUCUGCAUCAGAGCACUGGUCUUGUCAAUUUGAAUUAGGGAUGGGGAGAUUCCUGCUCAAUAUUAAUAUGAUGGUAUUUAUGGAGUUCGUUGUGUAUUUUCUGGCCUGUAUGCCCAUGUUCCAGAAGUAUUCUCUCCAGACAUCCUCAGAAUUUGUGAGGUAUAUCCAGGGCCGGUCCAACAAUGAGGCGAAUUAAGCAGUCGCUUCAGGCACAAAACAUACAGGGGCGCAGUCGAGACUACUUCUUCUGUUGAUUUCUUGUAAAACAUGAUGUUUUGUGCUUAAUUUGUAAAAUCUUAAUGUAAUUUGAUGUUCAAUAGGCUUUUCCUUAAUCCCUCCUUAUUAUCCAACAUUUUCGCUUAUCCAACGCUUUUAUUUUUCAGUGAUUAGUUUGGGGGGGGGCACCAAAAUUCUGUUCGCUUACACUUGAAUAAUACCUAGGGCCGGCUCUGGGUAUAUCUGCCAUAGAUGUGGGUGAAAUGUCAGGAGAUAAAACUUCUGGAACAUGGCCAUACAGCCCGGAAGACACACAACAACACUGGUCUUGUCAAUUUGAAUUAGGGAUGGGGAGACUCCUACUCAAUAUUAAUAUGAUGAUGGUAUUUAUGGAGUUCGUUGUGUAUUUUCUGGGCUGUAUGCCCAUGUUCCAGAAGUAUUCUCUCCAGACAUCCUCAGAGUUUGUGAGGUAUAUCUGCCAUAGAUGUGGGUGAAAUGUCAGGAGAUAAAACUUCUGGGACAUAAGUUUUUACCUACCAUACAGCCCGGAAAACACACAACAACACUGGUCUUGUCAAUUUGGAACCAGAGCUGGCCCUAGGUAGUUUUCAAGUGUAGGCGAACAGAAUUUUGGCGCCCCCACCCAAACCAAUCACUAAAAAAUAAAAGCGUAAGAUAAGUGAAAAUGUUGGAUAAUAAGGAGGGAUUAAGGAAAAGCCUAUUAAACAUCAAAUUACAUUAAGAUUUUACAAAUUAAGCACCAAAACAUCAUGUUUUACAACAAAUAAACAGAAAAAGCAGUCUCGACUGCGCCCCCAUAUAUUUGGCGUCCGAAGCGACUGCUUAAUUCGCCUCAUUGUUGGACCGGCUCUGUUUGGAACAUAAGUUUUUACCUACCAUACAGCCCAGAAAACACACAACAAUACUGGUCUUGUCAAUUUGAAUUAGGGAAGGGGAGACUCCUGCUCAAUAUUAAUAUGAUGAUGGUAUUUAUGGAGUUCGUUGCGUAUUUUCUGGGCUGUAUGCCCAUGUUCCAGAAUUAUUCUCUCCAGACAUCCUCAGAAUUUGUGAGAUAUAUCUGCCAUAGAUGUGGGUGAAAUGUCAGGAGAGAAAAUUUCUGGAAUAUGGCCAUACAGCCCAGAAAACACACAACAACACUGGUCUUGUCAAUUUGGAACAUAAGUUUUUACCUACCAUACAGCCCGGAAAACACACAACACUGGUCUUGUCAAUUUUGAACAUAAGUUUUUACCUACCAUACAGCCCGGAAAACACACAAGAACACUGGUCUUGUCAAUUUGGAACAUAAGUUUUUACCUACCAUACAGCCCAGAAAACACACAACAACACUGGUCUUGUCAAUUUGAAUUAGGGAUGGGGAGACUCCUGCUCAAUAUUAAUAUGAUGAUGGUAUUUAUGGAGUUCGUUGUGUAUUUUCCGGGCUGUAUGGCCAUGUUCCAAAAGUAUUCUCUCCAGACAUCCUCAGAGUUUGUGAGGUAUAUCUGCCAUAGAUGUGGGUGAAAUGUCAGGAGAGAAAACUUCUGGAACAUGGCCAUACAGCCCGGAAAACACACAACAACACUGGUCUUGUCAAUUUGAAUUAGGGAUAGGGAGAUUCCUGCUCAAGUAAAAUCCUGUAAAGCUUUUAUUUCAAUAUUUCAGGCUGCCAGUUUUGGUCAAAUAUUUUGAAUGUCCACAGGACUUCCUUUCUCAGAAGUAUUGUGACACAUGUGCUGAAUGUUGUCAAUGAUACUUGCAAGGCCUAUUAUGUGAUCAAAACAUGAAAUGUCACAAUGCAAGUGAUCCACAUUAUCCUUAUGUCUACUUCUUGCUUCUCUUUUUGUCUAUUGGCAUCAUAAAAUCUGUUUUGGCAUCAUAAAUAACUUUGGCCAAGUCUAAAAGGGGCAGAUGCAUACUUCCUGAAUCUGGAUCCCAAUGGUUUAUUCCAGUGGUGUCCAAUAAUCGAUCCUCCAGAUGUUUUGAACUUCAGCUCCCAGAUUUUCUAAGUAUUGGACAAGCUGGCCAGGUCCUCUGGACGUUGAACACCUAAACGCCUGGAAGAUCCAAAGGUUGGACAGCACUGGCUAACUCUUCCAGUUGUGAGUCUAUCACCUUGCCCUCCAUGUUGCCACCAAAGUUGCUUUCUGGACACAGAGUUCCUUUUGAGUCUCCAGUCUUCCUUGUCAUGUCCACUGAUGUUGGAAUGCUUCGUUCCUUCUUGUGGGCGCCCCGUUAUGGCAUCAGGAGUUUCAGGAGUGAUAGCUGGGCACUCCAUGGUGACACUAAGAUGUCCUCUCCCAAUUUUCUGCUUUGAUCAGAGCAGAGAAACGAUAAUGCUACGGAGUCUGUAUAGACAAUGUAAAUGAAAUGGACAUGAUCCAGAUGGUGUGAAGUCCAUGAACACUCCAAACCGUCCUGCUAUCCAUGUGAUCGAGGUGACCCCCCCCCAGGACUUUGUAAAAGAUAGUUCAAAAAUCAAGACUUUAUGUUCUAUAUUUCAUAUAUUUAUAGCAGAAGGUGAUUGAGAUUUUUU
rnacentral:lncRNA from 1 species